rnacentral:lncRNA from 1 species
GUACAGUAUUUCUUGCUUCCUUCCUUGAAAGGGCCUCACUGUGUUGAGGUUAUAGCUAGAAUUCAGGUACAUCCUCUACCACCAUCUCCUGUCCACCCCACCUUCAAAAACUGGGAAAUAGCUCUGAGCUUUUGGUUCAAGACUGCCAUGUACUAGCUGUGAGACCCUGUGUACAUCUCGAGCCAGGAGCCUCUCUGAGCCUUCGUCUCCCUGGCUCUAAAUUUUAGAUGCCCUUUUCCUGAGUUCUCAAAGUCUGAAUCUCUAAACUGCACAAGAAGCCGAGGCUAGCCACUGCAACAUUUCUAGAUUAGCAAUUGUAAGUGCUAACCACACAGUUCAUGUAUUCCCACCAAAACUCGUCUCUGACCAUUAUCAGCUGCCAUCAGCAAGCACAUAACCAGAUGUACUGAAAGUGAAACUGCAUUAUCUUGCAAAAAGUAUGAGAUUUCAUGAAGUUGAUGGAAGCAAAUGAGGGGGAAACCAGCAGUGGAUGACCACAGACAAAGAGAACAUUUACAAGAGAAGUGACUGGGACCUUCCAAAAAAGAAGUGAUGGGUUAUCAAAGGAUUCAGAGUGAUCCUUGGGUUUGAGGAAGCCCUCAAAUACUUUUGAAAAAAAAAAGCUGCAAAACCUCAGUGGCAGCGCUGCCAGUAGAAAGAGUACAGUCAAGAAAAGUCAAAAACUUGAUUCACUUGCUGAGGGGGGACCGCGGUGCCACUUGGGCGGUGGGACUCCAGGUACAUCGCUGGCUCUCGGAGAACCAGAGGCGGGAAAGGUGAGCCGGCCGCCCCCGACACAGCCUUCG